GCCUUCGUGGUGUAGUGGUCAGCAUGCUUGAAUGGUCAAGAGAGGUCAGUGGUUCGAGUUCUGUCGAGGGCA
rnacentral:tRNA from 1 species